GAAAAUUCAGGGGUGGGGGCAGGGAUGCACUCCCCAUCCCAUUUGUCCCGGUUGACAUCCCAUACUUAGUGUUUUUUUAGAAGAACUUUAUUAUUAUUGGUAUGAUAUUUAUUUUUUUAUAAUCUUUCUUUUUUAAUGAGAUGAGGUUACUUUUCAAAAUUAAUGUAGCCUACAAAAUCAAUUUUAGGUUAGAUUUUAGCAUAGGCUAUAUUCGUCACUUACAUAUACAUUGCAAAGUAUGGCUAUUGGUAUAAAAGUCGUUAAGUUUUCAAACAAUUGUUGGUUUUACCAUUUGAUGUGCUUUGGACUCUAUUAAACAAUUGUUGGUUUUACCAUUUGAUUUGUUUUGACUCUUUUAAAGCCGGAUAUUUAAUAGAGUCUAUUAAAGCCGGAUAUUUAGGUAACCAACAGGUUACCGGUUACACAACGUAAGGUUACACUCUUACGUUGGCUUCAAUCCCCACCCACCGUCAUCUUCAUCCCCAAACCUCCUUUGUCCUCUUCUUCUCUUCGCUCUUAUCUUCUGAAUCUAACCUCAUGUGCGAUGAAUCGAUCCAUGAUGGUCUCCUUUCUUCUUCUUCUCUUCUGAAUUGAACCCCAACAUAAACCCGAUUCAGACCUUGAAGAUUAGGGCAUGUGACUGAUCAGACUUUUCUUCCUCCAUGAAAUUCGAUUCAGACAUUGGGUGAUGAACAGAUCGAUCUCCUCCACCAUCUUUCCCUUUCGAUUUUCCAUAUUGAUAUGAGGAGCUACCUUACUGCCGUCAUGCUCACAUACAUCAGAUUACAUCAUUGGAACAUGAAUCAGAGUAAAGGGGUUCAUCACCUUCAUCACCCAAUUCAGACCUUGGAGUCAAGGUAGCACCUGUUCAUCAACCAAUUCAGACCUCUUUGUCUUCGAUUUUAAGGAAAACACACCCAUUUUGGGGUUCAUCAAUAUCUGCUUUGUGAUUAAAAUUUGCACACAACACACAGUGUAUGAUUUGCUACUAAUUUGUGUGUUAUGUGUGUAUUUUUGUGUUCCUAUGUAUUUCCAAGAUGACCAUGGUGAAUAGGGUGAAGAAGAGGAGAGUGUUACCGGAGCUAGGUUUAGAUAUGGGCAAGAAUGGGAGGUGGUAGUGAACAAUAUCAAUAUAGUUAUGGUAGCGGUGGUUGAUUUCAAUGAUGGUAUCAGUGGUGGAUUUCAGGUUUGAUGUUUUUGGAAAACAUGAUGACCAAAGAGAAUAGGGGAUGAAGAAGACAAUACAACGGUGGUGAGGGGCUACUGUGUGCACCAUUAGUUAUGGAGAAUAGAGAUGGUGAUGGGUUAGAUGAGGAGAGUUUGAAUAUUUAUAGAUACAAAUUUCGAUUUGCAGGUGGGAAGGUAAUGGAAAUGGAGAUGAUUUUAGGCAUCUAUAGGGUCGUUUGAUAGUUGCUGACUAAGAAAGUGCUGAUUGAGAAAGGUCUGUCUGAGUAAUAAGUUCUGACUGAGUAAGAAACUAUGCUGUUUGAUUAUACAUCUGAGUGAAUGUGCUGACUGAUACAAAAUGACAAUUUUACCCUGAUGCUCUUUAUAGUAGUAGUAGUAGUAGUAGUAGUAAUAAUAAUAAUAAUAAUAAUAAUAAUAAAAGUAAUAAUAAUAAUAAUAAUAAUGUAUACAAAAAACUUCCAGCAUAAAAGACAUUAAAUAUACUAUUUUAGAGAUUAAAACACAAAAAACCCUUUAGCUUACUGGUAAACAUCAUUCUAUGUAUAGAGGAGACCCGAGUUCAAUUCUUGUAACCUCCAAUUACAUUUGUUUUUAUCCAAGGCCAAGGGUAUUAUUGUAAAGUCUUGCUUUCUUUCUCAGUCAGCCUCCUGCCAAUUCCUUUCUCAGUCAGACAUUUCUUACCGAGUCAGAUGACCAGAAUUGGAUAAUUAAACACAUUUUGCUGACCGAGUCAGCUAAAAACGUCUGACUUGACUCGGUCAGACGCAUAUCAAACGGGGCCUUAGAUGGGUUGUAUGUUACCGGCAGAUAACCCCUAGAAGGGUAUAAGUGCAAAAAUUAAAUCAAAUAUCAGGUUUUAAUGAGCCCAAAACACAUCAAAAGAAAAGGUAAAACCAACAAUUAUUUGAAAACUUAAAGAUUUUUAUAACAUUAGCCCUUCUAAACAGCAUCAAAAGAAAAGGUAAAACCAACAAUUAUUUGAAAACUUAAAGGUUUUUAUAACAUUAGCCCUUCUAAACAGCAUCGCUUUGGAAAUUAAUAACAUUUUAAAAAACUUUUCCUCUAUUUAAAACCAAUGAUUUUUGAAAAUACGAGUAACAAUUAAAUCCAUAUUAACCUAUGAAAAAAAAUUCUUGUAGUUGGAGCAAAUUUUAUUAUAAUACUGUUUUUAUGAAUAAACUUUAAUCAUCAGAGAUGGGAGUUGUGUUUGAAAUUGUGAUAAUAACUAAAAAAGGAAAUUAUCUAUUUUAUACUUAAACGGAGGGGCGAGGUGAAUAACCAAAAUAUUUACAAGCCCUUUACGUUUUGGCUCAAACAAGCAACUUGAAGCAAAAUGACUCCAUGAUCNAAAAAAAAAAAAAAAAAAAAAAAAAAACCUACAAAUUUAACUCGACACUUUUCCAGACUCUACAUCACUUUGCAUACCAACUUCACCCACUGCAGAAUCCUCUACCCUUCUAUUUGAACGUGUCUCUUCCAAAGCCCUAAAAUAAGCAUAAGGACCCCAUCCUAAAAAACAAAAAACAAUGUCACUAAAAUUUAUAAACACUACACAAAAAUACCAAAAAAAAAAAAAAAAAAAAACUACCUUCAGAGUGAUAUGGAGCUGGAAAAAACUGCAGAUAGCAAAAAAUGGCAACUGUGAAACCUAAAAUCCCUCCAGCAAAAACAUCCUGCCAAUGAUGCCAAUAAUCAUCCACACGUGAAACAGCUACAAGAGACGCCAUAAGAAUUGGAAGAAACACAAUGCAUAGUUUUGCCACGUGGCCCCUUCGAUCAAACACUUUGAUCUUCCCAGCUAAAUACAAUGCCAAAAACCCUAGACCCGCAAACGACCCUGCAACCCAAUUUCAAUUCCCCAACAUUAUUUAUUAUAUAAAUUCAUAAAACUAAAUAAUCAUUAUUAAUAUUAGCAAAAAACUUACAUGAAGAAUGACCACUUGGAAAGCUCUUAUGACCUUCUCUUAUAUCACUAUCUUUCCCAUGACACACAACAUUCCCCCAUUGAUCAUAAUUCUACAUAAUUAUAAUUAAGAAAUUAUUUCAUUUUCGGAAAAAAAAAAAAAAAUUGGAGUUAAAAAGAUAACAAUACAUUACAUACAUCAACUCCAUCAGGAAAGCAACGCCAAAAGAAAUCAGGUCUAGGGCGUCCAGUGGCGUCUUUUAUAGCAUCUGUGAGGACUCCGGUUAUAAGUAUAGAAAAUAAGAGCCCUAAAAUAGCAUGGUGAAGAUCGUAUACAUCUCUUCUCUUGAAAUAGAUGAAUACAAACACAAGUAUAGGCAACAACACCGCAUACACCUGUAAAACAAAUAAUGUAAAAGUGGAUUUUUGUUUUUGAGAAAAAUAAGGUAAAUGUUAACUACUCACGGGUACGGCCCACAAGGGAACGGUGUUAUCUUUCAUUGGGUAUUUAAGAUCUGUCAUCAUGUCUUUGCCCACAAAGCGGUAGAAAGGGUGAAUGAUGUUUAGAAUGAUUUCAAUGAUGGCAAGUAGUAGCAAUAUAAGCCAGUCAUGCAUGUGAAGCCUUGCCACCUUCCUUCCAUGAGACUUCAUGUAGAAUAAUUCAACCUCGUUUACCUCAACUCUACCCCCCUGCUGCCCCUGUUUACAUAAUUAUAUAUGAAUCUGAAAGCUAUAUAUCAUGCUUCAUGAACAAUCAUAACAGCAAGACUUCUUGCAAGAUUGUUUCUCAUUCAUAUCUCCGUACAAUUAGUGAUUUGUCUUCUUCCCCGAAUUAUUAUUUUUUUAUGUGUUUUUUGCAGAUCAAAAAGACUAUGUGGGAUUCAAGUCUCCAAGAGGCAGCCCUUGAGUGUGUUUCUAGUCCAUUAAAAGAGAAUACUAUUCUCUCCAUCGCAUCAAAAUUGUAAAGACUCCCUUUAUUUUUUUAUAGUUUUAUGUAGUGUAAGAAAGAUAAAAGAAAUUAUUGUAGAGAAUAACAUAAAUAUGAUUCAUAGAUCCACCACUAGUUGAGUUUUAUUGAUAAAGAUAACUCUCUUGAACCACAUUAAAGGGUAUUUUAGAAGAAGACGAAAGUAUACAAUAAUUUGAGAAUAGUGUGAAGAUUUGAAAAAUAAAUAAAUAAUCGGUUCAUACACUUGCAUUGAGAAUAUCUAAAAGAUGAUUACGAACCAAAACUGGGGGUUUACUGACCUGAAACAUAUUCCGAAUGAUCUGAAGACUCAUCCUUCCACUGAGCAAAUCAAAAUAGAAGAAAAAAGAAAAAUCAGGCCGAAUUAUGCAAUCGGUAUUUCGAAUUUUAAAACCCUACGAAAUGCAGGGUUCAAUUAACUAGUAAACCUACAAUUACUCGCUUUGUGACUAACGGUUAUAUAAUAACUAAAACAGAAUAUAUGAAUGUUACAAGAGAAAAAUAAUAAUUUACAAAGAUAAAGUAGAGAGGGAUUGUGGUGGUUGUACCUGCAAUCUGGACUCUGGAGAGAUAAUUUCGGGCAAAAAUCAAUGCGGCAACAAUGGACCCAGUGUCAUUCAAAAUUCCCUUGUUCUAAUGAGUGUAAGGUUGACUGAUAAUAAUGGAUGCAUAUGUAAGUGUGACUCGUCUGAGAGAGGGAGGGGGGCGGAGUUGUUUGCCAGGGACGGCGGUAGUGAGGUGGGUGUAGG
rnacentral:lncRNA from 1 species